UACAGAGGUCCCAAGCGUUGUUCGGAUUCAUUGGGCGUAAAGGGCGUGUAGGCGGCGCCGUAAGUCGGGUGUGAAAUCUCGGGGCUUAACUCCGAAACUGCAUUCGAUACUGCGGUGCUUGAGGACUGGAGAGGAGACUGGAAUUCAUGGUGUAGUGGUGGAAUGCGUAGAGAUCGGCAGGAACACCCAGGGGGAAACCAGCCGACUGGGCAUCUACUGACGCUGAGGUGCGAGAGCGUGGGGAGCGAACCGG
rnacentral:rRNA from 1 species